UUGAGACGAAUUCCCCCUUGGAUCCAGACUUUGAUUAUGGCUCAGGAUGAACGCUAGCUACAGGCUUAACACAUGCAAGUCGAGGGGAAACGAUAGAGAAAGCUUGCUUUUUCUAGGCGUCGACCGGCGCACGGGUGAGUAACGCGUAUCCAACCUGCCCAUCACUUGGGGAUAACCUUGCGAAAGUAAGACUAAUACCCAAUGACGUCUCUAGAAGACAUCUGAAAGAGAUUAAAGAUUUAUCGGUGAUGGAUGGGGAUGCGUCUGAUUAGCUUGUUGGCGGGGUAACGGCCCACCAAGGCGACGAUCAGUAGGGGUUCUGAGAGGAAGGUCCCCCACAUUGGAACUGAGACACGGUCCAAACUCCUACGGGAGGCAGCAGUGAGGAAUAUUGGUCAAUGGGCGAGAGCCUGAACCAGCCAAGUAGCGUGCAGGAUGACGGCCCUAUGGGUUGUAAACUGCUUUUAUAAGGGAAUAAAGUGGGAGUCGUGACUCCUUUUGCAUGUACCUUAUGAAUAAGGACCGGCUAAUUCCGUGCCAGCAGCCGCGGUAAUACGGAAGGUCCGGGCGUUAUCCGGAUUUAUUGGGUUUAAAGGGAGCGUAGGCCGGAGAUUAGCGUGUUGUGAAAUGUAGACGCCCAACGUCUGCACUGCAGCGCGAACUGGUUUCCUUGAGUACGCACAAAGUGGGCGGAAUUCGUGGUGUAGCGGUGAAAUGCUUAGAUAUCACGAAGAACUCCGAUUGCGAAGGCAGCUCACUGGAGCGCAACUGACGCUGAAGCUCGAAAGUGCGGGUAUCGAACAGGAUUAGAUACCCUGGUAGUCCGCACGGUAAACGAUGGAUGCCCGCUGUUGGUCUGAAUAGGUCAGCGGCCAAGCGAAAGCAUUAAGCAUCCCACCUGGGGAGUACGCCGGCAAGGGUGCAACUC
rnacentral:rRNA from 2 species